UGGGGAAUAUUGCACAAUGGGCGCAAGCCUGAUGCAGCCAUGCCGCGUGUGUGAAGAAGGCCUUCGGGUUGUAAAGCACUUUCAGCGGGGAGGAAGGCGAUAAGGUUAAUAACCUCAUCGAUUGACGUUACCCGCAGAAGAAGCACCGGCUAACUCCGUGCCAGCAGCCGCGGUAAUACGGAGGGUGCAAGCGUUAAUCGGAAUUACUGGGCGUAAAGCGCACGCAGGCGGUCUGUCAAGUCGGAUGUGAAAUCCCCGGGCUCAACCUGGGAACUGCAUCUGAUACUGGAAAGCUUGAGUCUCGUAGAGGGGGGUAGAAUUCCAGGUGUAGCGGUGAAAUGCGUAGAGAUCUGGAGGAAUACCGGUGGCGAAGGCGGCCCCCUGGACGAAGACUGACGCUCAGGUGCGAAAGCGUGGGGAGCAAACAGG
rnacentral:rRNA from 1 species